rnacentral:rRNA from 1 species
GGAAUAUUGGUCAAUGGGCGCGAGCCUGAACCAGCCAAGUAGCGUGCAGGACGACGGCCCUACGGGUUGUAAACUGCUUUUAUCAGGGGAUAAAGUGCGGGACGUGUGCCUCAUUGCAGGUACCUGAUGAAUAAGGACCGGCUAAUUGCGUGCCAGCAGCCGCGGUAAUACGGAAGGUCCGGGCGUUAUCCGGAUUUAUUGGGCGUAAAGCGAGCGCAGGCGGUUUCUUAAGUCUGAUGUGAAAGCCUUCGGCUUAACCGAAGAAGUGCAUCGGAAACUGGGAAACUUGAGUGCAGAAGAGGACAGUGGAACUCCAUGUGUAGCGGUGAAAUGCGUAGAUAUAUGGAAGAACACCAGUGGCGAAGGCGGCUGUCUGGUCUGUAACUGACGCUGAGGCUCGAAAGCAUGGGUAGCGAACA